AUGUGUUCUGCAGAAUACCAUAAGAUGAAUUUGUUAACUCAAAUUGACCUGACCUGCCUAUAUAUCUUUAUGUUUGUGAAAUUUAUUUCCUUUCGAACAUCCAGUAAUGAGACUUCCUGAAAGAACAUGCUGAAUAAAGCCAUGACCUGGUGAUCUCAACUAGUUCACACAGAAUUAUCUACGCACCACUGGUGACCACCCAGAACCAC